CUCAGAUCCUUGGAUCUUAGUGAGCAAGCAAUAGGAGGGGAAGUUCGCACUGCUUCCACUGGUGCCAAGAUGAACACAAUUGACUGGUGAGAACUGAUAAAACCUCCUGAAAAGAAGAAUACAGUACUACAGGUGGG
rnacentral:lncRNA from 1 species